rnacentral:lncRNA from 1 species
UUUUUUCUUGUUGCUUGUAUGUUCUGCUAUUUUCUAGUGCUGAAUUCAGCACUUAGCCCAAUUUUGACUUUGUGCAGCUCAGAGACCACCCAUGUAACCAGAGAAUACCUCGUUGUGCCAAUCUUGAUGGUUGAAACAGACAUGAAGGGCAUCAGUCAGUUUCUAGAACAAGAAAUGCUAAACUCAGUGAGACCAGUUUAUUCUUCUGAUUACUUUGCUAAUUCCAAUGAGCUGAAUAAGGUUCAAUAGUCUUAGCAUUAUCAAAAACAAAAAUAAAGGGGGAGGGGGGGGAGGGUGUCAUUAAGCAGAGGAUACAUCUACUUGCAGAGGUAGCCAAAACACCUGUUACAUACAGAUAGAAAAACACAAGCUUUUGACCAUACAUUCCUUUAAUACAAAAACACAAACUGUGUUUUGCUAUAUCCAGUGACCACCAUACUCACCAAAAAUGUACUACUUAAAUAUUAUUACUGCUUAAAUAUUAUUCUUUUUUAGAAGAAGAAAGAAAAUUAUCUACUAAUCUAAAAUGCAAUGUUUUUGGAAAAAUGUGUCAUUUUUCUAAGAUUGCAAAAUGAAUCCUGAAGGGAUUUAUUCCACAUGUGAAUUGUUGGAUAGAGCAAGUCUUUUCUUCCUCGAAUUUUCCUAGGGAUUUUAAAAAUUACAUUAAAAAAGCACAGAAUUUUAAAGUAAAUUCUCCAUAAAUGUAGUGCAAAGCUCCUAACAAGCACAGUCUUUGUGGGAUUGAGAUCUAAAGACAUAGUAAUUGCAUCAAACUACAACCUGGAGAACUGAAGCAUUGUGUAUGAAGGCAAGGAAAAGAAAGCAAAUUAUGUUAGCAGUGCUAGACACUGCUGCACAUGGAUGGGAGCUAGGGGAGAGGAAGAACAGGAGCAGUGCUUUGAAUCAGCUAGAAUUGAUUGCAUGUAGAGCUAUCAGGACUUUCCCAGUGUCUACAGAUGUGCAGCAAACCAAAUCACCAGAAUAUGAUUAUUUUUGUCCUAUCCAAGUUUAUCAUUUGAGAAAACAAAGGAGAAGAAGAACAGAAAUGUUAAGGGUUUCAGAGAAUACCUUUGAAGCUGAGAAGAACAUUCUUCCUAACAUCAGUGUCACCAUGGAACAAUUCCUGGAGUUGACCCUAGCACCCUCUUCUGUCAUAACCUAUUCAGGAGAAAAGGAGGUAAAGAUCUUCUGAGCAUCAUGAGAUGACACUGGAAUCAUGACCCUUAGGUAUUCCAUCAGAGAUUUAAAGACGAAUCCUUUGACUUUCCCCCCCAAAACAACAUCUCAGGAAGUAGACCAGAUGUAAGUUUAAAGUAAAUCAAAGAUAUAAAAGCAUUCAAAAGGGAG